rnacentral:rRNA from 1 species
UUGGCCUCGGAUCAGGCAGGGCUACCCGCUGAACUUAAGCAUAUCAAUAAGCGGAGGAAAAGAAACCAACAGGGAUUGCCCCAGUAACGGCGAGUGAAGCGGCAGCAGCUCAAAUUUGAAAUCUGGCCCCCGCGGGCCCGAGUUGUAAUUUGCAGAGGAUGCUUUUGGCGAGGCGCCUUCCGAGUUCCCUGGAACGGGACGCCGCAGAGGGUGAGAGCCCCGUACGGUCGGACGCCGAGCCUCUGUAAAGCUCCUUCGACGAGUCGAGUAGCUUGGGAAUGCUGCUCUAAACGGGAGGUAUAUGUCUUCUAAAGCUAAAUACCGGCCAGAGACCGAUAGCGCACAAGUAGAGUGAUCGAAAGAUGAAAAGCACUUUGGAAAGAGAGUUAAACAGCACGUGAAAUUGUUGAAAGGGAAGCGCUUGUGACCAGACUUGUGCCCGGCGGGCCACCCGGCGUUCUCGCCGGGCGCUCCCCGCCGGGCCCAGGCCAGCAUCAGCUCGCCGCGGGGGACAAAGGCUCUGGGAAUGUGGCUCCUCCGGGAGUGUUAUAGCCCUCUGCGCAAUGCCCCGGGGCGGGCUGAGGACCGCGCGUCUGACGCAUGGAUGCUGGCGUAAUGGUCGCCAGCGACCCGUCUUGAAACACGGACCAA